UGGAGACGAGCCAGUGACGCGCUGAAAAUAACCAGGUUACCACUCAGCACCGGUCCAUUUUGGGGAGGGCCCAACACGAGGGCGCAGCACCAUAUAUCAGCUCCUUCCAGCUGUUUGGGAAUAUCCUGCUCACAUUAUCGAGGCUGCAGCAUGGCAGCAGCAGCAGACUGCCUUCACUCCUCUCCGUCUCUCUGUCUUCUGCUUCCAGAAUGGAUACAGGGUGACUGGCUGUGCUGGCGGGGCUUAAUCACACGCCGCUUUUCUUUCAAGGUAAAAAAGGGUGAGAGGAGAAGACUGGCACAAUUAAGGCGCGACACUGUUGCGUCUCCACAUUUUGCUCUUCUUGGGCAGAGGAGGAGGGGAAGGCAGAGGCCAGGAGGACUGCCCGACUUAUUACCAAAGACAAUUCGCCCUCCACAACCCCAAAAAGGAUAAUCUUGCUCCAUCUGGGAUGCGUUCAACACCAAGUAAUCAGAUAUUACAUGGGGCGGCAGUGGCGCUGGUUGGACGGUGAAGUUUUACUUGCAGACGCGAUCUCCUCCAGACAACACAGCAGACAGACUGUCGGCGCGUUUUACGCAGGUCUCCAUAUGGGCUGUGGAUGCUGACACCUGCCCGGUACGCAGGUGACACGGACUGGGCAUCACCCACCCACUUCUCCACAAACACUGACAGGCAGCAGGUCAGUGGGCACAUGGAAAAAAAAGGUGACACCUACAGUAUCUCACCGUGACUGAGUGCAAUGGAAUUGGGCUUGCAACCAGAGGGUCACCAGUUCAAAUCCCAGGACAGGUCAAGGGCUGGAAUGCCUCUGAGAUAGCUCAACGGCUCAGAAAUGUGAUGUUGUGCUAACAUGGCUGCCAACAAUAAGACACGAUGACACUGUCCUGUUUUCACUGCUGGAGGCCUCCCAGUAGAAGAGUUCUGUUGAAUGCCUCUUUGCUGCGACAUGGAGACGGGCCCACAACCACCAGCGGAGCAGAGCUGAGCUCUAGAGCGGCGUUAGAGCCCUGCUGGGACCUGCCAGACCCACAGAUUUCACUGCCAGGGGCCUCAGCUCGCAGUCGGUGUGAGUUACAGUCCGCGCUCCCGUCACACACAUUCUAAUACACACUUACACACAGUUCGCUUGAAUGUGUACGCUAUAUAGACAUGUAGGCGCAUGUGCAUAGAUGGCAAAGUAUAUGCAUGUGCACGGAUACAUAAUCGCUUUAUUUACAUGAUCUAAUCAUUUUACUCUGGAAAAACAGGACUUGGAAACUGACUGACAUUGUACUAAAUCUAAUUUCUCUAAAGAGGACUAACACACCCAGAGAACUCUUCUGUUCAUUCCGGCCCAAACAGGACUAGGUGCUCUGUUCCCACCCCCGAGCUUUAACCCAGAAAUAAAAUAAGUCAGUACACAGAAGACAACAGCAGAAACAACAUGGCAAAACCCAGGCCGGUACAUUUCUUUGGACUGACGAGAAGAGCGAGUUUACUCUCCGCCAGCUCAAAGAUUUUAAUAUUUUAGAGUAUUUUAAUAUUUCGUUGAUGGUAGAAGACAGGUGCUCCACAUCCUGGCAAUUAGCCGCCAGCUAAAUCGGAAACAUCCUAAUAUAAACAAACUGAGAGAGGGCAUAUCGUCACUCAGCGUUGUGGAGGCGGUAGGACAGUAACCCAGUUCAACCAGUAAGGUUCAGGAUCCGUCAGGAUCAGUUUAUGGUCAGGGUCUGGCAGCAGCUGGAUUGAUCAGUCUGCGUUAACAGGUUUGGUGGAAUGGUAGAACUGACAUUCGUGUGAUUAAGAGGUUUGCAGAAGACUUAUAUGUGUGUGUGUGUGUGUGUGUGUUUCUGUGCGAGUGAGUGAGGAGAAAGCAUAAAUACUUGACUAUAAUAUAUUGUCUAAAGUCAAUGAUAAUGUGUACCAGCUGCAUAGCUUUUUAUUAACUUUAAUAAUUGAGGAAAAUCGUGAAAUCUGUGUUUAAAUUUUUAUUUGUUUUUUUACGGCAGCAAAACUUGUUUUUAGGGCAGCUGCAAUAUUCAUCUCUUUUAUUCAGGUUCUCUUUUUUAUAUUGUGUGAAUUAUACAUCCUUUGUUCGCUGUUUUUUUUGUCUCUGUCGUUCUGUGUAUUGUUCUGCAGCUGUUGUAGCCCAAUAAAAACUUCCCUGUGGUGACAAUAAAUUUGAUUUGAUUUGAUUGAUUUGCUGAUGAGAUCUGAUCCCACAAGCUUCUUUUUGGGAUAAGAAAAAUGUAUGUAAGUAAUAAUUAGACGCAGCAAGCAUCCGCAUUGAGGAGGCACUGAAAAGUAUCCUAAAAUGGUUAAUGAAGAUGUCUUUAUUAAUUAUAGAAUAUAUUUCACAUCGUUUUCAACACGUUGCGAGUGCGUGCACGCUCGUUUCAACUUCAUCCAUUUUAAUGCCAGAGCCUUCACCGAAAAGGCAGAAAAUGUUCAAAGAGAGGGAAGAAAAUCUGGACUUAGCACAGCCUGAAACUAACCAAGUGUCGUGAUAGCUUUCAAAUCACUUCAACUGUUGAUAAGUGCCAGGAUGACAUAUUGAUCACUGCUAUAUACCCUCUCCUCUCCUCUCCUCUCCUCUCCUGCCAGCAGUGUUGUGUAUUCCAGCAACCAGCGCCCCAAGCAAGUAUGCAUCCAGUAGGAAAAAGGUGAAAUCCUGGUAGUGCCAGGCAGCUAUAUUCUUUUUCUUCUUCUUUUUUUCCCCCCACUGUGCAGCCAAACACAAGGUGUAGACAAAAAAAAUGCAGUUUGUAAGCAGGGGCUGUUUAUUUUAACUCUCUCUAUACAUGUGGCUGGGAUGUGGAAAGAGCAAUAUGUGCACCGAGGACAGCACGCGGCAUGCGACCUGACAAUAGUACUAUUAUAAUAAGAUAUACUGUAAAUAAUAUGGCUUUGUCGGUCGGGUUCGGGUUGCAACUAGCGGCCACAUGCGUACACACAUACAAAUUCACACACACACACAUAUUUGUAUGAAGAAAGGGUAAACAAAAUCUAUAAUUUAUGAAGGCCCCAGGUUAAACAGAACUUGGUAAAGGUAUAAAAAAAAACAUAUUUGUUUAACACCUGACGUGCUGUGUCAGACACCGUGUAUUUCUAACAACUUUGAAUAAUUGAAUUUUAUAUGUCAUUUAUUUCAUAUUACCAAAACAGUAUAUAAAAUCCUAACGUCAGACAUGUUAUAAAUAUGGAGCAGAGAGGAAAAGAAUAAAACAAACAAAGAACCUGUACUUACAUGUUUGAUUUUGUGAAUAUAAUAAUUAAUAUUAACUCUGUAUCACAUAAACUGUUUGGUAUCUCACUCUGUACAUGUGAAUGUGCUGUGGUUGGUGUAUUCACGAGGGAGUUGUUUUAGGGCUCGGCCCAGUCAUAACACACUUACUCAUACUUUGAAAAGUCAGUUUACAGAUAGGCUACUCGACGGUCACUCCCAAACAUGUGUAUAUUUUGUAAUGUGGAUAUUUCUUCCCACAUGAACACAGUGGCUACAUUUAUAAAUUGUCUGCUAACUCGAUGUAACUGUUCUUGUUACGUUAACAAAUGGUCUGUGGUCUGGUGGUUUGUGUGUGUGGACUGAGACGAAGUCAAAUUCCCGAUCUGAUAUUUCAGUCCAUGUCUGUGUGAUAUGAGGAGUCCACCGUGAACACGCGGACGGAAUGGAAUUGUGGCAUUAAAUUAAAGCUCCUAAAGUAUUUAUUAAUAAGAUGUUAAGCUAUAAUGAUUAAAGUGGUUAAUAAGAACCAUGUAUGUGUCUGUUUAAAGUCAGAAAGAAACUGGAAAACAGUUCAGUCUGUAUCUGAGGUACUGUAGUUUCUUUUUCCUCUAAUGCAUGAUAAUGUGAGCUUGUUUUUUUCUGUUUCUUUUUAAUGUGUGCAUAUGUGUGACACAUGUUUCUCUUUCUUUGGUGGGGAAAGGUAUGACUGCGUGUUUUGCGGUUUAAUAUGAGUAUUACUGUUGUCACUGUCGAUUCCUCUGUGUGAUAUGUAUGAUAAAUUCAAUAAAGACAUAACAUUUAAAUUAAAGAUAA